GAAAUCUGGCUCUUUCAGAGUCCGAGUUGUAAUUUGAAGAAGGUAUCUUUGGGUCUGGCUCUUGUCUAUGUUUCUUGGAACAGAACGUCACAGAGGGUGAGAAUCCCGUGCGAUGAGAUGAUCCAGGCCUAUGUAAAGUUCCUUCGAAGAGUCGAGUUGUUUGGGAAUGCAGCUCUAAGUGGGUGGUAAAUUCCAUCUAAAGCUAAAUAUUGGCGAGAGACCGAUAGCGAACAAGUACAGUGAUGGAAAGAUGAAAAGAACUUUGAAAAGAGAGUGAAAAAGUACGUGAAAUUGUUGAAAGGGAAGGGCUUGAGAUCAGACUUGGUAUUUUGUAUGUUACUUCUUCGGGGGUGGCCUCUACAGUUUAUCGGGCCAGCAUCAGUUUGGGCGGUAGGAGAAUUGCGUUGGAAUGUGGCACGGCUUCGGUUGUGUGUUAUAGCCUUCGUCGAUACUGCCAGCCUAGACUGAGGACUGCGGUUUAUACCUAGGAUGUUGGCAUAAUGAUCUUAAGUCGCCC
rnacentral:rRNA from 1 species